UACGUAGGGUGCAAACGUUAAUCGGAAUUACUGGGCGUAAAGCGUGCGCAGGCGGUUUUGUAAGUCUGAUGUGAAAGCCCCGGGCUCAACCUGGGAGGUGCGCUCGAGACUGGUUUGCUGGAGUUCGGGAGAGGAGCGUGGAAUUCCCAGUGUAGAGGUGAAAUUCGUAGAUAUUGGGAAGAACACCGGUGGCGAAGGCGGCGACCUGGGUUGACAUUGACGCUGAGGCGCGAAAGCGUGGGGAGCAAACAGG
rnacentral:rRNA from 1 species